rnacentral:rRNA from 1 species
UGGGGAAUAUUGGACAAUGGGCGAAAGCCUGAUCCAGCCAUGCCGCGUGUGUGAAGAAGGUCUUCGGAUUGUAAAGCACUUUAAGUUGGGAGGAAGGGCAUUAACCUAAUACGUUAGUGUUUUGACGUUACCGACAGAAUAAGCACCGGCUAACUCUGUGCCAGCAGCCGCGGUAAUACAGAGGGUGCAAACGUUAAUCGGAAUUACUGGGCGUAAAGCGCGCGUAGGUGGUUUGUUAAGUUGGAUGUGAAAUCCCCGGGCUCAACCUGGGAACUGCAUUCAAAACUGACUGACUAGAGUAUGGUAGAGGGUGGUGGAAUUUCCUGUGUAGCGGUGAAAUGCGUAGAUAUAGGAAGGAACACCAGUGGCGAAGGCGACCACCUGGACUAAUACUGACACUGAGGUGCGAAAGCGUGGGGAGCAAACA